GUUUAGUGCUGCAGAUUCAUCUCUAUUGUGGAGUAGCCUUGAAUGGUUGGUGUGACUUGCUUUGACCUUUGCUGCUGGGUGCCUUGGCGGAGUGCUUGCGAGCUAUUGAGUCUCAUCAUGAAUGCAGUGACUUAUGAGGACGUGCAUGUGAACUUCACUCGAGAGGAGUGGGCUCUGCUGGAUCCUUCUCAGAAGAAGCUCUACAAAGAUGUGAUGCUGGAGACCUACAGGAACCUCAACGCUAUAGGAUUUAAUUGGGACGAGAAACAUAUUCAAGAACAUUGUCCAAGUUCUAGAAGACACAGAAGGCAUGAAAGAAGUCAGAGUGCAGAGAAAGCGUCUGAAUAUACUCAAUGUGAUAAAAUCUUUUUUUUAUGCUCACAGUCAUGCUCAAAGGCAUGAAAGAAUUCAUACAGAAAUGAACCCCCUUGGAAUUAUUCAAUUUGUUGAAACCUUUGCUCAACAUCGUCUCCAACUUCAUAAAGAGCACAAACUGGAAAGAAACUCUAUGAAUGGAAGCAAUGUAGUAAAGCCUUUGAAGAUCAAGUCAUCUUAAAAGCUAUGAAGGAAUUCAUACGGGAGAGAAACCUUAUGAAUGUCAUCAGUGUGAAAAAGCCUUUUCAAGUCACAGUAAUCUCCUACAACCUAAACGGACACAUACUGGAGAGAAAUGCUAUGAAUGUGAUCUGUGUGGUAAAGCCUUUUCACAACAUAGUCGGCUUAAAAGGCAUGGAAGAAUUCAUACUGGAGAGAAACCCUACAGAUGUAAUAACUGUGAGAAAGCCUUUUCACAACAAAUUCACCUCCAGUCACAUAGAAGAAUUCAUACUGGAGAGAAACCCUACAAAUAUAAUAAAUGUGAGAAAGCCAUUUUACAACAUUAUAACCUCCAAAGUCAUAAAAGAAUACAUAUUGGAUAGAAACCCAAUGAAUGUGGUCUGUGUGUGAAAGCCUGUAUAAGUCAAUGGUAUCUUCAAAAGCAUAAAAAAAAAUUCAUACUGUAGAGAAAGCUUAUGAACAUAUAUAAUAUGGUAAAAUCUACAAAUAUCCAUAGUCUUAAUCAUCAUGCACAUAUUUGUAUUGGCAAGAAAUCCUCUGAAUAUUAACUGUGUGAUAAAACCUAUUUCAACACACUUAUCUCCUAAUGCAUCAAUGAGCACAUACUGGGGAGACAGAGGUGUGAGGAACUUAUGAAUGUAUACAAUGUGGUAAAAGUCCAUGCUGCAGGGAAGCCCUACAAAUGUAGUCAUUCUGAUAAAAUUUUGCACUUCACAGUAUGUUUCUGUAAGAGGAAAGUCAUUAGCUUAUACUAAAUCUGUUAAUGUUUGCAUGUCACAGUAAUUUUUCAACUUCUAAGAACUCAUAAGUAGGGCAGUCUAUGACUCUGAUGGCCUUGGUACGAUCUUUAGCCAGUCCACUUACAUUAAGUUACACAAAAUUAUUUAUUCCUGAGAAAAUCUCUAGCAAGUGUCAACUAUCUGCUCAAAUAUGAUGAUGUGUCUUUUUUUUUUUAACAUGUAAAUUCAUAGGUUCAAAAGCCCUUUCAAUUUCAUUGAUAAGGUACUGGUUUAAAUUUCACAGCUCAUUAAAUUUCACAGUCCAUUAAAUAACUCAUUCAUGUG